AUGUCACAGUACUGUGGUACAGAGAAGCACAUCGCACUGGAGGUGAUUUCUUUAUCACCUGCGGCUCCAUGUACUUCUCCGUGCCACAGUACUGGGAACGAAA
rnacentral:pre_miRNA from 1 species